UAACGGGGAAGCUUGCUUCCGCCGACGACCGGCGCACGGGUGCGUAACGCGUAUACAAUCUACCUUGUACUGGGGUAUAGCCUUUAGAAAUGAAGAUUAAUCCCCCAUAGUCUCUUAGAGUGGCAUCACUUCUAGAGUAAAGGUUACGGUAUAAGAUGAGUAUGCGUUCUAUUAGUUUGUUGGUGUGGUAACGGCACACCAAGACUACGAUAGAUAGGGGCCCUGAGAGGGGGAUCCCCCACACUGGUACUGAGACACGGACCAGACUCCUACGGGAGGCAGCAGUGAGGAAUAUUGGACAAUGGAGGCAACUCUGAUCCAGCCAUGCCGCGUGCAGGAAGACUGCCCUAUGGGUUGUAAACUGCUUUUAUACAGGAAGAAACACCUCUACGUGUAGAGGCUUGACGGUACUGUAAGAAUAAGGAUCGGCUAACUCCGUGCCAGCAGCCGCGGUAAUACGGAGGAUCCAAGCGUUAUCCGGAAUCAUUGGGUUUAAAGGGUCCGUAGGUGGAUAACUAAGUCAGAGGUGAAAUCUUGCAGCUCAACUGUAAAAUUGCCUUUGAAACUGGUUAUCUUGAGUUAUUAUGAAGUAGUUAGAAUAUGUAGUGUAGCGGUGAAAUGCAUAGAUAUUACAUAGAAUACCAAUUGCGAAGGCAGAUUACUAAUAAUUAACUGACACUGAUGGACGAAAGCGUGGGUAGCGAACA
rnacentral:rRNA from 1 species